rnacentral:tRNA from 1 species
UGGGGUAUCGCCAAGUGGUAAGGCACCGGUUUUUGGUAUCGGCAUUCGCAGGUUCGAAUCCUGCUACCCCAGCCA